GUUGUUGAUGGCUCUCUGGAUGAUUUCUGGACUGUUGUCUGUCCGACCCAAAAGGCCUCCUAACAGUCUCUGGUUGGACUCCAGAGAGAGGCCAUGAAGGAAGCGGACAAACAGAUCCAGGUGACCAUUUUUACUUUGGAGGGAUUUCUCCAUGGCUCUCUGUAAGAAGACAUCCAGAGAUCUGUAAUUAUCCUUGUCUGUCCCAAGGAAGUCCUCCAGUACCUUUGUGUUCCUGUUGGUGAAACAGUGGAACAGGUAGACUGCAGCCAGAAACUCCUGAACGCUCAGAUGAACGAAGCAGUAGACUGUUUUCUGGAAGAUCACAGACUCUC